GUGAACCUGCGGAAGGAUCAUUAACGAGAGAGAGGCUUCGCGCCUCGGGGGGCUUCGGCCCCGCCUCUUCACCCCGUGCGUACCUACUUUGUUGCUUUGGCGGGCCUCGGUUCCCCCGACGUCGGCCCGGGGUUUCCCCGGGCCGGGCGCGUGCCCGCCAGAGACCGUACCCAAACCCUGUCCAUCAGUGUUCGUCUGAGUACCAAGUAAAUAACUAAAACUUUCAACAACGGAUCUCUUGGUUCUGGCAUCGAUGAAGAACGCAGCGAAAUGCGAUAAGUAAUGUGAAUUGCAGAAUUCAGUGAAUCAUCGAAUCUUUGAACGCACAUUGCGCCCCCUGGUAUUCCGGGGGGCAUGCCUGUUCGAGCGUCAUUGCAACCCUCAAGUAUCGCUUGGUGUUGGGCUUUCGUCCCUCGGACGUGCCCGAAAGUUAGUGGCGGUUCAUUGGGACCUCGAGCGCAGUCGAAAUUAUCAUCCGCUCUAGGUUCGCGUUGCGGCCGGCCAGCCAACCCCCAAUUAUUUCAAUGGU
rnacentral:rRNA from 1 species